AUACUUACCUGGCAGGGUAGACACCAUAAUCACAAAGGUGGUUUUCCAAGGGCAAGGCUCACCUACUGCACUCUGGGUGCACAGAUCCCUGCAAUUUCCCCAAAUGUGGGAAACUUGACUGCAUACUUUGUGAUAGUGGAGACCGUGUUUGUGCUUUCACCUG